UGCAGUCGAGCGGUAACAGGGGUAGCUUGCUACCCGCUGACGAGCGGCGGACGGGUGAGUAAUGCUUGGGAAGCUGCCCGGUAGAGGGGGAUAACAGUUGGAAACGACUGCUAAUACCGCAUAACCUCUUCGGAGCAAAGCGGGGGACCUUCGGGCCUCGCGCUACCGGAUGCGCCCAAGUGGGAUUAGCUAGUUGGUGGGGUAACGGCUCACCAAGGCGACGAUCCCUAGCUGGUCUGAGAGGAUGAUCAGCCACACUGGGACUGAGACACGGCCCAGACUCCUACGGGAGGCAGCAGUGGGGAAUAUUGCACAAUGGGCGAAAGCCUGAUGCAGCCAUGCCGCGUGUGUGAAGAAGGCCUUCGGGUUGUAAAGCACUUUCAGCGAGGAGGAAAGGGURAGUCUUAAUACGGCUUACCUGUGACGUUACUCGCAGAAGAAGCACCGGCUAACUCCGUGCCAGCAGCCGCGGUAAUACGGAGGGUGCGAGCGUUAAUCGGAAUUACUGGGCGUAAAGCGCAUGCAGGCGGCUGAUUAAGCCAGAUGUGAAAGCCCGGGGCUUAACCUCGGAAUUGCAUUUGGAACUGGUCAGCUAGAGUUCUUGAGAGGGUGGUAGAAUUUUCAGGUGUAGCGGUGAAAUGCGUAGAGAUCUGAAGGAAAUACCGGGUGGGCGAAGGCGGCCACCCUGGCAAGUAACUGACGCUCAGAU
rnacentral:rRNA from 1 species